rnacentral:rRNA from 1 species
UACGUAGGUCCCGAGCGUUGUCCGGAUUUAUUGGGCGUAAAGCGAACGCAGGUGGUUUAUUAAGUCUGGUGUAAAAGGCAGUGGCUCAACCAUUGUAUGCAUUGGAAACUGGUAGACUUAAGUGCAGGAGAGGAGAGUGGAAUUCCAUGUGUAGCGGUGAAAUGCGUAGAUAUAUGGAGGAACACCGGUGGCGAAAGCGGCUCUCUGGCCUGUAACUGACACUGAGGCUCGAAAGCGUGGGGAGCAAACAGG